CCUACGGGAGGCUGCAGUGAGGAAUAUUGGUCAAUGGACGAGAGUCUGAACCAGCCAAGUAGCGUGAAGGAUGACUGCCCUAUGGGCUGUAAACUUCUUUUAUAUGGGAAUAAAACGUUCCACGUGUGGGAUUUUGUAUGUACCAUAUGAAUAAGGAUCGGCUAACUCCGUGCCAGCAGCCGCGGUAAUACGGAGGAUCCGAGCGUUAUCCGGAUUUAUUGGGUUUAAAGGGAGCGUAGGUGGAUUGGUAAGUCAGUUGUGAAAGUUUGCGGCUCAACCGUAAAAUUGCAGUUGAAACUGGCAGGCUUGAGUACAGGAGAGGUGGGCGGAAUGCGUGGUGUAGCGGUGAAAUGCUUAGAUAUCACGAAGAACUCCGAUUGCGAAGGCAGCUCACUGGACUGCAACUGACACUGAGGCUCGAAAGUGUGGGUAUCAAACAGGAUUAGAUACCCUAGUAGUC
rnacentral:rRNA from 1 species